rnacentral:rRNA from 1 species
GGCCACAGCCAUAUCACUCUGCAGCCCAAGACCGGUUACUCACUGAAGCUAAGCAGGGCUGAGCCUGGUUAAUACCUGAAUGGGAGACCACAUGGGAAAACUAGGUUGCUGUUGGAA